CCGCUGCAUAUCUAGCAAGGGUAAACUUGCAAGCACCUCUUAUUGCAGGGAAUAUGGAUCAGAGCGAGUUUACCCACAGCUGAGACAAGCUGAAAGACAGAGGUCACAAUUUGCUCAAGCUGCCAUUGCUGAACUCAUCAGGCAGGCAGGAAAUGCCUGCUGCAAGAAAGAAUUUGGAUGUUAAUAUUCCUUCUUUGUCUCCUGUUACUCACUCCAUAACAUCCUGUCCUGAAAGCAGAUGCCAGAUCUUUCCCAGGUAGUGGAAGAGCAAGCCUUGCAGGAAGGGUGGUGCUGGGCAGCUCUGCCUCUGAGCAUACAAACACUUCUGUACACAGUGCAGGUGUUCUGUCUUACAUGGUGCUGGCUGAGAUAAUCUGCUGUUUAAGUGAACUGGUCAUUUUAGUGAAUUUUGACGAAGAAAGGACUUCAGAAUUUCUUAAUAUGGACAAGAUACUGGGAAAGGAAGAAGUGAAUAGGUUGAACACUAUUAAGAGAAAAGCUGAAGCAGAUGCCCUUGGUCUCUUGCCUUCUUUGCCAUCACUAACUGCACUGAAACUUGGUUACACAGUGGAUUCUAAGACACUUCUCAUGCACUGGUUUUGAUCUGCAUGGAUUAUACUUUAAGUUCAAACGAGUAUGGUUUUCCUUGACUUUUCUCAAAACCACCACUCUUUGUGGGAUCGCUCUCGUUGUGGUAAGCAGUGAAAAGGAACUGAUAGAGUAGAAGACAAAGGCAUGAAGCAAAGAAGCUUUGAGAUGACAAAUGUGAACUCAGCCUGGAGUAAAACAACCUGUUGAUCUGUCA